GACGAACGCUGGCGGCGUGCCUAAUACAUGCAAGUAGUACGCAGUUGCGAACUGGUGAGUAACGCGUAGGUAACUGCCUAUUAGAGGUGGAUAAUUACAGGAAUCGAUAGCUAAUACCGCAUACUAGUAGAUGGAUCUUCUUUGUAUUGGCUAGUAGGUAGGGUAAUGGCCUACCUAGGCUACGUUACAUAGCCGACCUUGGAGGUCGAUGGGCCAAACUGGGUAUGAGACACGGGCCAGACUCCUGCGGGAGGCAGCAGUAGGGAAUCUUCGGCAAUGGGGGGAAUCCUGACCGAGCAAUGCCGCGUGAGUGAAGAAGGUUUUCGGAUCGUAAAGCUCUGUUGUUAAGGAAGCGGUACUUAUCCAGAAAGGGACGGCUAACUACGUGCCAGCCGCCGGGGUAAUAC
rnacentral:rRNA from 1 species